UACGUAGGGUGCAAGCGUUGUCCGGAAUUAUUGGGCGUAAAGCGCGUGUAGGCGGUCCGGUAAGUCCGCUGUGAAAGUCGAGGGCUCAACCCUCGAAUGCCGGUGGAUACUGUCGGGCUAGAGUGCGGAAGAGGCGAGUGGAAUUCCUGGUGUAGCGGUGAAAUGCGCAGAUAUCAGGAGGAACACCUAUUGCGAAGGCAGCUCGCUGGGACGUUACUGACGCUGAGACGCGAAAGCGUGGGGAGCAAACAGG
rnacentral:rRNA from 1 species